UAUUGGAUCUCACCCAAUCUUCAAAAUGCACCAUCAUGUGUCCUCCAGCUGACCGUCUCGAUGCCUCUAAUCACACAGCUUGAUCCAUCUGACAGAUGAACAUUACCCUCACUGCUCUCCAAAGAGUCAAACAGCUCUUCUCUAUAAUAUACAUGAUAGAUGCAUGCAGAAUCUAAAAUCUACUACUAGGAAGAAGUAGAUAUCCUGUUAGAUAUCACUAGGACAUCAUUUUUUGACUCGCUACAGGCUAUCACCAC
rnacentral:lncRNA from 1 species